GCCGAGGUGGCGGAAUCCGGUAACGCGCCAGACUCGAGAUCUGGUUUCCGCAAGGAAGUUAGGGUUCAAAUCCCUACCUCGGCGCCA
rnacentral:tRNA from 1 species